GAUAGCCACAACUGAUCCAUAUGUUUCCUUCUGUUGGUUUGUCAAGUGGCAGGCUGCAAAAACAUGAACUUUAACAUAUGUGUACCAGAGUUU